GACGAACGCUGGCGGCGUGCUUAACACAUGCAAGUCGAACGGAAAGGCCCUUCUUUUUUGGGGUGCUCUAGUUGCGAACGGGUGAGUAACACGUCAGUUACCUGCCCUUCACUUUGCUAUAACUUCAUGAAACUGAAGCUAAUACCGGAUAGGAGCUCCUGCUUCUUGGUGGGGGUUGGAAUGUUUCGGCGGUUGGUGAUGUACUCGCGGCUUAUCAGCUCGUUGGUUGGGUAGUGGCUUACCAUGGCAUUGACGGGUAGCCGGCCUGAGAGGGGGACCGGCCAAAUUAGGACUGAGAUGAGACCCAGACUACGAAGGGAGGGAGCGAUGGGGGAUAUUGCAAAAGAGGAGGAAGGCUGAUGCGACAAAGCCGCGCGGGGGAUGACGGGCAUCGGGUAGUAAAGCGAUUCCGCCUGUGACGAAGCGUGAGUGACGGUAAUGGGUAAAGAAGCACCGGCUAACUACGCG
rnacentral:rRNA from 1 species